CUACGGGGUGCUCCAGUGAGGAAUAUUGCACAAUGGGGGGAACCCUGAUGCAGUAACGCCGCGUGGAGGAUGACGCAUUUCGGUGUGUAAACUCCUUUUAUAUGUCAAGAAAAUGACGGUAGCAUAUGAAUAAGCACCGGCUAACUCCGUGCCAGCAGCCGCGGUAAUACGGAGGGUGCAAGCGUUACUCGGAAUCACUGGGCGUAAAGGACGCGUAGGCGGGUUGGAAAGUCAGGUGUGAAAUCCUACAGCUUAACUGUAGAACUGCGCUUGAAACUUCUAAUCUAGAGUAUGGGAGGGGGAGAUGGAAUUAGUGGUGUAGGGGUAAAAUCCGUAGAUAUCACUAGGAAUACCUAAAGCGAAGGCGAUCUCCUGGAACAUUACUGACGCUAAGGCGUGAAAGCGUGGGGAGCAAACAGGAUUAGAUACCCCAGUAGUC
rnacentral:rRNA from 1 species